rnacentral:rRNA from 1 species
UACGUAGGUGGCAAGCGUUGUCCGGAUUUACUGGGCGUAAAGAGCGCGCAGGCGGUCGUUCAAGUCGCGUGUGAAAGCCCCCGGCUCAACUGGGGAGGGUCACGCGAUACUGAUCGACUCGAAGGCAGGAGAGGGUAGUGGAAUUCCCGGUGUAGUGGUGAAAUGCGUAGAUAUCGGGAGGAACACCAGUGGCGAAGGCGGAUCUCUGGGCCUUGCCUGACGCUGAGGCGCGAAAGCUAGGGGAGCGAACAGG